UGGUAACCUUAACCAAUCUUGUGCACAUACUAGGGCCUCCACAAUUUUAGGAGUUAAAGAACUCCUAAAUGCAUCUAAUACCCUUCCACUAGUACUAAAUG